UAAUACAGAGGGGGCAAGCGUUGUUCGGAAUUACUGGGCGUAAAGGGCGCGUAGGCGGCCUGCUAAGUCGAACGUGAAAUCCCUGGGCUCAACCCAGGAACUGCGUCCGAUACUGGUUGGCUUGAAUCCGGGAGAGGGAUGUGGAAUUCCAGGUGUAGCGGUGAAAUGCGUAGAUAUCUGGAGGAACACCGGUGGCGAAGGCGACAUCCUGGACCGGUAUUGACGCUGAGGCGCGAAAGCCAGGGGAGCAAACGGGAUUAGAUACCCCGGUAGUCCUAGCCUUAAACGAUGAAUGCUUGGUGUCUGGGGUUAUAUAGUCCCCGGGUGCCGUCGCUAACGCUUUAAGCAUUCCGCCUGGGGAGUACGGUCGCAAGACUG
rnacentral:rRNA from 1 species